UGGGCUGGACUGGGUGGCUUAAGUGGCCGGCCCACCCCCUUGGUGGUGCUGUGUGCAGAGAUCAUGCUCAGGACCCUGCUUUUGCUCUCAGUACUUCAUGAAUAGCAGUUGGUUUGUAGCCUUUUUGUAUCUUAUUGUUCAUAAUUGCCCAACUGUACACGUGUGCAGUUAUCUUUUAGUCCCUUAGUUUCUUUGUAUUCUGUUGCUCAGAGACAUUUUUCCAGGUGCAAGCACUCCAGCAAAGGAUCUCGGAUCCCAGGCCUGUCUCAGUAUUUUGCUACCAUCACCACCAUCCAUCUCCACACUAUUUUCACCUUGCAAAAACGAAACUGUAUCCAUUAGACAAAAAUUCCCCAGUUCUACCUCCUCCUCCUCCUUACUUAUCCAUUCAUCUGUCAUGAACACUUGGGUUGCUUCCACAAUUUCAGUCCAUCUUUAUAAUCACACAUCUCCCAACAAAAUGUUUGUUCAUUGCUCAAGAUGACUAUUGAACUGAAUCAAUCAAUAUAGUAUAUAAGUGGUAGUUAAUGAAAAUAGUUUAAAUGAUGUAGCACACAUUCCAAAUCAGCCAAAAAUGUACCUUCGCCCACUUUUCCAGGGGAGAACAAUGUAGUUGGGGGUUUUCAUUAGCAGGAAAACCUAAAAUCAAACAGCACUGGGAAAGGGAUCUUGUAUCUUGGCCAAGUUGCCUUUACAAAAGAUAAGCUGAAAAGUUGUCACCCACAGACCACAGCUGGGAGUGAGUCAGGGGUACCUGUGGUCCCCUCAUUCCAUUGUCUUGUCCUCUGGUCUGUUGUUUUGGAGGUGCUGAACCUGAUUCCUGCUGGGCACUUGGAGCUGAGGAUUUCCUUGGGGAUUCAUGCUAAAUAAAUUUAUUCAUAGCAACUGCUGUAUAACCCAGAAUGCCACUUUAUUCUCUUAUGAUGAGCACAGUUAUAGACAAACUGACACAGGAAGCCAUAAAUUAUCACAAGAACAUUGCUUGAGAAACCUGGAUCAGAGUAGAUAAAGAUAAAUAAAAACUUAGUUGGCGCAAUCAUCAGGAUUUGCACCUCCGUAGUUAAAGAGGUCGUCAUAUUUGUGUUCAUAGGUCAGUGUGUUUUCUUCCUUAGACAGAGCAAGAGACUCACAGAUACCUUUUGUUUUCCAGCCAUCCCCUACUUCUGCUCCGGGCUAACCCCUUCUUUUAAUACAGUCAAUUCUUAGGCAAUGGACUAACUUAGAUUUAAGCUUUCUUAAUUAUAAUUGCAUUCUAAGCAUGCCUCCCAGUAGCUCUAGUCAAUAAUUUCUUUUUUUUAAUUAUUGUAUUAUUUAAUUAUUUUACUUGGGAGGGAGGUAAUUAGGUUUAUUUAUUUAUUUUUAGAGGAGGUACUAAGGAAUUAAACCCAGGACCUCAUGCAUGCUAAGCAUGCGCUCUACCACUGAGCUAUACUCUUCUCCUGUCAUAAUUUCUUAUGUUAAGCUUCCAAGGGGCUGAACUCCUGCUGCCUGUGUGGGUUUUGUUUACUAUUACAGGUUUACCUUGCGGCAUAAUUAUGCGGGGUAGGGGGAGAUCAUAUUAGUGUAGCUUCCACAUAAAAAUUCUAGGAGGAUUCUAAUUACUUAACAAUGACCAAUUAUAGGCCCUACUUUACAGAUAAUGAGGGUCCACGUGCAGACAGUGCAUAUGUGUCGUGACUCCAGACCUCCUUGAAUUUGGUGCAAAUUCAUACGCACACUGAA